AUUGAACGCUGGCGGCAGGCCUAACACAUGCAAGUCGAGCGGAUGAAGGGAGCUUGCUCCUGGAUUCAGCGGCGGACGGGUGAGUAAUGCCUAGGAAUCUGCCUGGUAGUGGGGGAUAACGUCCGGAAACGGGCGCUGAUACCGCAUACGUCCUGCGGGAGCAAGUGGGGGAUCUUCGGACCGCACGCUAUCAGAUGAGCCUAGGUCGGAUUAGCUAGUUGGUGGGGUAAAGGCCUACCAAGGCGACGAUCCGUAACUGGUCUGAGAGGAUGAUCAGUCACACUGGAACUGAGACACGGUCCAGACUCCUACGGGAGGGCGCAGUGGGGAAUAUUGGACAAUGGGCGAAAGCCUGAUCCAGCCAUGCCGCGUGUGUGAAGAAGGUCUUCGGAUUGUAAAGCACUUUAAGUUGGGAGGAAGGGCAGUAAGUUAAUACCUUGCUGUUUUGACGUUACCAACAGAAUAAGCACCGGCUAACUUCGUG
rnacentral:rRNA from 1 species